rnacentral:rRNA from 1 species
AUUGAACGCUGGCGGCAGGCCUAACACAUGCAAGUCGAGCGGAUGACGGGAGCUUGCUCCUUGAUUCAGCGGCGGACGGGUGAGUAAUGCCUAGGAAUCUGCCUGGUAGUGGGGGACAACGUUUCGAAAGGAACGCUAAUACCGCAUACGUCCUACGUGAGAAAGCAGGGGACCUUCGGGCCUUGCGCUAUCAUAUGAGCCUAGGUCGGAUUAGCUUGUUGGUGAGGUAAUGGCUCACCAAGGCGACGAUCCGUGACUGGUCUGAGAGGAUGAUCAGUCACACUGGAACUGAGACACGGUCCAGACUCCUACGGGAGGCAGCAGUGGGGAAUAUUGGACGAUGGGCGAAAGCCUGAUCCAGCCAUGCCGCGUGUGUGAAGAAGGUCUUCGGAUUGUAAAGCACUUUAAGUUGGGAGGAAGGGUUGUAGAUUAAUACUCUGCAAUUUUGACGUUACCGACAGAAUAAGCACCGGCUAACUCUGUGCCAGCCGCCGCCGUAACAC